rnacentral:rRNA from 1 species
AUUGAACGCUGGCGGCAGGCUUAACACAUGCAAGUCGAGCGGGGUGAUGGUGCUUGCACUAUCACUUAGCGGCGGACGGGUGAGUAAUGCUUAGGAAUCUGCCUAUUAGUGGGGGACAACAUCUCGAAAGGGAUGCUAAUACCGCAUACGUCCUACGGGGGAAAGCAGGGGAUCACUUGUGACCUUGCGCUAAUAGAUGAGCCUAAGUCGGAUUAGCUAGUUGGUGGGGUAAAGGCCUACCAAGGCGACGAUCUGUAGCGGGUCUGAGAGGAUGAUCCGCCACACUGGGACUGGGACACGGCCCAGACUCCUACGGGAGGCAGCAGUGGGGAAUAUUGGACAAUGGGGGGAACCCUGAUCCAGCCGUGCCGCGUGUGUGAAGAAGGCCUUAUGGUUGUAGAGCACUUUAAGCGAGGAGGAGGCUCUUUUGGUUAAUACCCAAGAUGAGUGGACGUUACUCGCAGAAUAAGCACCGGCUAACUCUGUGCCAGCCGCCGCAGUAA